CCUACGGGUGGCAGCAGUGAGGAAUAUUGGUCAAUGGCCGGAAGGCUGAACCAGCCAUGCCGCGUGAAGGUCAGUGCCCUAUGGGCGUUAAACUUCUUUUGUGCGGGAGCAAUAAUAGUCACGUGUGGCCAGACGAGAGUACCGUACGAAUAAGCAUCGGCUAACUCCGUGCCAGCAGCCGCGGUAAUACGGGGGAUGCAAGCGUUAUCCGGAGUUAUUGGGUUUAAAGGGUGCGUAGGCUGGGAGGUAAGUCAGCGGUGAAAUGCCCCCGCUCAACGGGGUGAAGUGCCAUUGAUACUGCCUGGCUGGAAUGCGGAUGCCGUGGGAGGAAUGUGUGGUGUAGCGGUGAAAUGCAUAGAUAUCACACAGAACACCGAUUGCGAAGGCAUCUCACGAAUCCGCGAUUGACGCUGAUGCACGAAAGCGUGGGUAUCAAACAGGAUUAGAUACCCGGGUAGUC
rnacentral:rRNA from 1 species